rnacentral:rRNA from 1 species
UACGUAGGGGGCUAGCGUUGUCCGGAAUUAUUGGGCGUAAAGAGCGCGUAGGCGGUCCGAUAAGUCGGCUGUGAAAGUCAGGGGCUCAACCCUUGAAAGCCGGCCGAUACUGUCGGACUAGAGUCCGGAAGAGGCGAGUGGAAUUCCCGGUGUAGCGGUGAAAUGCGCAGAUAUCAGGAGGAACACCUAUUGCGAAGGCAGCUCGCUGGGACGUAACUGACGCUGAGACGCGAAAGCGUGGGGAGCAAACAGG